UAUAAGAAGUGAACAUAACUAUUUUACUAGUGGUCACAUUUACUAAAUGCAGUAAGCUUUCUGUGGCUUUUGUUUUGUCAGGUAUUGCUGCUUUCAUGCUGGGUUCCACGGCCUGAAUGGUGCUUCCAUCCUGGAGUCAGUUGUGCUAAGGUCUCGGGCCUGUUACACAUCAAAAGUAAAGACAGAAACAUACUUAUUCUCUACUGUGACAAUUAUACCAGGGAGAUGUAUGGUACACCAGGGGGACGGAACUGCAAAUGGCUGAAAGCAUGUCCUACAGUCCUGCGAGAGGAGAGUUCCACAGAUAUCACAGGGAGUGCCAUGCCAUCUGGUAAGAGACUCUCAGACAUCGUUUAGAUAAUUUGGGCAAGCGGCAGGAUUUUAUUUCCCCCUCUAAAUUGUUUAAUGUUAAAUCCAGGUACAAAGGUGGACAUGAGUGGACAUUGUCCCACCCCCUGCUUGGCAAGUCUUGAGAUUCUUCCUUCAUUGGUAGAAAAACGUGUGACACUUAAGUUCCGCACUGAAGCUUGACCUCUAAUCUGUCCCCAGAGUCUCCUGCCUUCUGCUGGAACCAAAAGCCAUGUCGCGUUACUGAAGACACAAGCCAGUGAGAGCUGGACCCAGUGGUGUGGUUUGGUCCCAGCUACCCAAGAG
rnacentral:lncRNA from 1 species